AUAGGGGAGCCGGAGGGAAACCGAGUCUUAACCGGGCGUUAAGUUGCAGGGUAUAGACCCGAAACCCGGUGAUCUAGCCAUGGGCAGGUUGAAGGUUGGGUAACACUAACUGGAGGACCGAACCGACUAAUGUUGAAAAAUUAGCGGAUGACCUGUGGCUGGGGGUGAAAGGCCAAUCAAACCGGGAGAUAGCUGGUUCUCCCCGAAAGCUAUUUAGGUAGCGCCUCGUGAAUUCAUCUCCGGGGGUAGAGCACUGUUUCGGCUAGGGGGCCAUCCCGGCUUACCAACCCGAUGCAAACUGCGAAUACCGGAGAAUGUUAUCACGGGAGACACACGGCGGGUGCUAACGUCCGUCGUGAAGAGGGAAACAACCCAGACCGCCAGCUAAGGUCCCAAAGUCAUGGUUAAGUGGGAAACGAUGUGGGAAGGCCCAGACAGCCAGGAUGUUGGCUUAGAAGCAGCCAUCAUUUAAAGAAAGCGUAAUAGCUCACUGGUCGAGUCGGCCUGCGCGGAAGAUGUAACGGGGCUAAACCAUGCACCGAAGCUGCGGCAGCGAACGUAUCACCCAAGACAACUUUACGGAGUUGACGAUUGACGGAGCGAAGCGACGUCAAAGCGUUCAUUAAAGUCGAGUUGGCUUAGGGAUACGUUCGUUGGGUAGGGGAGCGUUCUGUAAGCCUGUGAAGGUGUGUCGUGAGGCAUGCUGGAGGUAUCAGAAGUGCGAAUGCUGACAUAAGUAACGAUAAAGCGGGUGAAAAGCCCGCUCGCCGGAAGACCAAGGGUUCCUGUCCAACGUUAAUCGGGGCAGGGUGAGUCGACCCCUAAGGCGAGGCCGAAAGGCGUAGUCGAUGGGAAACGGGUUAAUAUUCCCGUACUUGGUGUUACUGCGAAGGGGGGACGGAGAAGGCUAUGUUGGCCGGGCGACGGUUGUCCCGGUUUAAGCGUGUAGGUGUGUGUUCCAGGUAAAUCCGGUUCACUUUAACACUGAGGCGUGACGACGAGGCACUACGGUGCUGAAGCAACAAAUGCCCUGCUUCCAGGAAAAGCCUCUAAGCAUCAGGUAACACGAAAUCGUACCCCAAACCGACACAGGUGGUCAGGUAGAGAAUACCAAGGCGCUUGAGAGAACUCGGGUGAAGGAACUAGGCAAAAUGGUGCCGUAACUUCGGGAGAAGGCACGCUGACACGUAGGUGAAGUGAUUUACUCAUGGAGCUGAAGUCAGUCGAAGAUACCAGCUGGCUGCAACUGUUUAUUAAAAACACAGCACUGUGCAAACACGAAAGUGGACGUAUACGGUGUGACGCCUGCCCGGUGCCGGAAGGUUAAUUGAUGGGGUCAGCGUAAGCGAAGCUCCUGAUCGAAGCCCCGGUAAACGGCGGCCGUAACUAUAACGGUCCUAAGGUAGCGAAAUUCCUUGUCGGGUAAGUUCCGACCUGCACGAAUGGCGUAAUGAUGGCCAGGCUGUCUCCACCCGAGACUCAGUGAAAUUGAACUCGCUGUGAAGAUGCAGUGUACCCGCGGCAAGACGGAAAGACCCCGUGAACCUUUACUAUAGCUUGACACUGAACAUUGAGCCUUGAUGUGUAGGAUAGGUGGGAGGCUUUGAAGUGUGGACGCCAGUCUGCAUGGAGCCGACCUUGAAAUACCACCCUUUAAUGUUUGAUGUUCUAACGUGGACCCGUAAUCCGGGUUGCGGACAGUGUCUGGUGGGUAGUUUGACUGGGGCGGUCUCCUCCUAAAGAGUAACGGAGGAGCACGAAGGUUGGCUAAUCCUGGUCGGACAUCAGGAGGUUAGUGCAAUGGCAUAAGCCAGCUUGACUGCGAGCGUGACGGCGCGAGCAGGUGCGAAAGCAGGUCAUAGUGAUCCGGUGGUUCUGAAUGGAAGGGCCAUCGCUCAACGGAUAAAAGGUACUCCGGGGAUAACAGGCUGAUACCGCCCAAGAGUUCAUAUCGACGGCGGUGUUUGGCACCUCGAUGUCGGCUCAUCACAUCCUGGGGCUGAAGUAGGUCCCAAGGGUAUGGCUGUUCGCCAUUUAAAGUGGUACGCGAGCUGGGUUUAGAACGUCGUGAGACAGUUCGGUCCCUAUCUGCCGUGGGCGCUGGAGAACUGAGGGGGGCUGCUCCUAGUACGAGAGGACCGGAGUGGACGCAUCACUGGUGUUCGGGUUGUCAUGCCAAUGGCACUGCCCGGUAGCUAAAUGCGGAAGAGAUAAGUGCUGAAAGCAUCUAAGCACGAAACUUGCCCCGAGAUGAGUUCU
rnacentral:rRNA from 1 species